GCUGACAUGUACUACGCUCACUGGCAUGAUAGAAUUUCUUUAAAUUCAUCAUGUCGUAAGGGAAAAUAAUGAUAUUACCUUACUAUGAGUGUCGUCCAAAGCUGGUGCCAGAAGACUCGGUAAGACCAGAGACGCAAACGUUAAUCAUCUUAAACAGGCGUAAAGGGUUUGUAGGCAGCUUUCAUAAUAUUAUUUCUUACAAAAAUAAAGAAGUGGUCUGAUUGAAAGCUAGAAUCAAAAAGAGGUUAUAGUGUAUAACGCCUAGAGGAGGGCUGAUAUCCUUAGAUCCUAGGCAGAAUACUUAGGGCGAAGGCCACUCUCCACUAAUGAUUGACGCUGAGAAACGAAGGUAAGGGUAGGAAAUAGGAUUAGAUACCCCGGUACUCCUUUCUGUAAACGAUGAAUGGUAGUCAUUAGUAAAAUUAACUAGAGACGAAGUUAACACAAUAACCAUUCCGCCUUGUGAGUACUACUGCAAAGUAGAAAACAAAAAAAUUAGUCGGUCUCGAAGCAAACGGAGUGAAGCAUGUUAUUUAAUUCAAUAAAUCCGC
rnacentral:rRNA from 1 species